AUUGAACGCUGGCGGCAGGCCUAACACAUGCAAGUCGAGCGGGGUUUUCGGACCUAGCGGCGGACGGGUGAGUAAUGCGUAGGAAGCUGCCCGAUAGAGGGGGAUACCAGUUGGAAACGACUGUUAAUACCGCAUAAUGUCUACGGACCAAAGUGUGGGACCUUCGGGCCACAUGCUAUCGGAUGCGCCUACGUGGGAUUAGCUAGUUGGUGAGGUAAUGGCUCACCAAGGCGACGAUCUCUAGCUGGUUUGAGAGGAUGAUCAGCCACACUGGAACUGAGACACGGUCCAGACUCCUACGGGAGGCAGCAGUGGGGAAUAUUGGACAAUGGGCGCAAGCCUGAUCCAGCCAUGCCGCGUGUGUGAAGAAGGCCUUCGGGUUGUAAAGCACUUUCAGCGAGGAGGAAGGGGUUGUAGUUAAUAGCUGCAACCUUUGACGUUACUCGCAGAAGAAGCACCGGCUAACUCUGUGCCAGCAGCCGCGGUAAUAC
rnacentral:rRNA from 1 species